GGACAUUCAUGAAAUCAUAUAAAGAAUGAGAGAUUUGCAAAUAAAAUUUACAAAAUGUAGAGAGAAGAGUCAAUCAUCAAAAAUAAAAAUAAGACAAAAAUUAGGACCAUUAGAAGUUGUAGUAUAUAGGUGCAUGUGGUGUGAUAGCAUGAAUCAUUCAAGAAGGGAAUAUGAAAAUUUUACAAAGGCAUUAUUCAAAAGAGUUGU
rnacentral:lncRNA from 1 species